CUUUUUCUUUCAAGCGCAUAUACGUGUUUACCAGAGGUGCUUACGGGAAUUUUUCCGAUGAUCGGUUCUCAGGUUCUCAGCUCAAUUAGCCAACUCAGGAGAUUGAUUCGAUGAAGAUCUAUAUCGGAAGGGAAUCCCCUAUAUGGCGUGAAAUCUGAUUGCAAUGGAACCAACCAAGUUGACCCAUAUUACCCAAACAGCUAAGCGGCUCCAAAAUAUGAAGGACGAGCGUAGAUCCAACAUAUCCGACCCUUCCAGUGAGCGGAUGAAGACAAUGCAGCAACUGCAUCGUACAUGUACGAUAGCGGUUUCCGGAUGAUUUACAAGGUUUGGCACGAGUCCCAGAAUAAGAAAUGCAAGACGCUGAAUAUGCCUUUUAUACAGUAGGAUGCGUUUUGAUUUCGCUGCUAACAAUAAUUCUGGCCUUCUGGGCCCUUUUUUGUUGGUCAGCAUUGCCAAUGCCUGUUAAACCAAACCUCGAGGCGAGUGUCCUUUGGUCGGUAUAGGAGCAUCUCUCCUCCGUGAUUUCCGUGUGCUUUCUAAGGAGGUUUCAGUAGCAGAUAAGAACACACAACGGACCAUAAACUAGCAGCUUAUCUCAAGCCCAGACCAAUGGAAUACGACAGCAAAGCAGCAAACCGGUUCCCAGUGUAUCAGUGACCGCUGUAUCGUUCAGAACUACUACGUGCCUGGAAGGUAUCGCAAAAUUCAUCGAGAUUCGCAUCCCCGGCUGUCGAUUCUAUUCAGGUUUGACUGAUACUGUUUCCGGUCCAUCGUUUGUCAGUGCCUCCCCCAAAAUCCAUCGCCAACUACUUAAUACCGAUUGGUGCUGAUACACGUACGACGUUCAAUUUUAAUUUAGUAACCCGCAAAUGAUUGUAUUGUGAGGGUGAAAUAUAUUGCAUAAGUCGUUUUCUUUCGCACCAUAUAAAUAGAAAAUCAUUUCUAUGAAAAAAAAAUCUUACAUGGGGGGAGGGGGUCGAAAAUCCCAGAAAGAAUGCAAAAUGGUAACUUGGCUUAAACCUUGCGGUUAAUAACUGUGGAAGUGCUGAAUGAACACUAAGCAACGAGGCAGCAAUGUCCCAGUGGGGCCAAUAAUAAUAAGAAGAAAAAGCUCCACAAAAAGACUCAGUCUAAACAUUUAUUGAAAUUUUAGGCAAUGUCAAGAGGAGUCAGUUAUCGAGAUGAAUCUACGAUGACAUGAGUAUGUAUUGUAGACCCAAAGAACAGCCGUUUCCAACGGCUGAAAUCAACAAAAAAAUAUUUUAUUUAACACUAAACAGUUAUUAAAUCAAAAAUUAUGAUCUGUUCGUAAAAAAACUUUUCUCAAAUUUACAUUACAAACUUUGUACGGGUCGAAUUCACUAUUGAAUAUCGAAUAUAGUCACUUUGUGAGUACCUAAUAGUUAGUAAAGCAAUAAGAGCUUUUUAACAGAAAAACAUUUUUUUGGUGACAAUUGUAUUAAUAUACCUAGUUGCCACUGCCUUGCCGUAGAAAGGGUUAACUGCGAGGUUUCAAAGCCAAGUUACCAUGUUUCAUUCGUAUACAAUUAGGCUCACAUCACUAAAACAAUGAUAUA